UUAGGAAUUUUGCGCAAUGGGAGAAAUCCUGACGCAGCAACGCCGCGUGGGGGAUGAAGGCCUUCGGGUCGUAAACCCCUUUUAGCAGGAACGAAAAAAAUGACGGUACCUGCAGAAAAAGCACCGGCUAACUCUGUGCCAGCAGCCGCGGUAAUACAGAGGGUGCAAGCGUUAUUCGGAAUUACUGGGCGUAAAGGGCGCGUAGGCGGCUUGGUAAGUUUGGUGUGAAAUCCCUGGACUCAAUCCAGGAACUGCAUUGAAUACUGCCAGGCUGGAGUGCAGGAGAGGAGAGCGGAAUUCCCGGUGUAGAGGUGAAAUUCGUAGAUAUCGGGAGGAACAACAGUGGCGAAGGCGGCUCUCUGGACUGUUACUGACGCUGAGGCGCGAAAGCGUGGGGAGCAAACAGG
rnacentral:rRNA from 1 species